GAUUUCAACUGAAAAAGUCAUCAACAACAAAGUUGUAUAACUCAUCAAUAUCUAUAACUUUUAUUUUGGUCAUUUCUUUAUCCGAUAAAGUAACUGUAACAUUGUUCACAAAAUCUACAUAUGUAUAACUCAUCAAUAUGUAUAACUUUUAUUCUGGUCAUUUCUUUAUCCGAUAAAGUGAUUGUAACAUUGUUUAAAAAAUCUACAUAUAUCUCUUAUAGUUUAUAAAACCAUAUAGGAGAUAUGUAAAUUUUGUGAACAAUGUUACUAUCACUUUGUCGGAUGAAUAAAUGAGCAAAAUAAAAGUUAGAGAUAUUGAUGAGUUAUACAACUUUGUUGUUGAUGAUUUUUUCAGUUGAAAUC
rnacentral:pre_miRNA from 2 species